rnacentral:lncRNA from 1 species
GGGAACAACCCCCCCAAAAAAAUUGAAAAGCCGUGGCCCCCCCCCCCAACCCAGUGGGUCCUGCAUCCUCCCCACCCAAGGCUGCCCUGGGCACGGUGCCGCCAGGUCCCCUGCCCCCCCCCCGCACCCCCCAGCCCCCACUCACGCUUGAGCUCGCUGGGGGGGACGAGGGCCUGUCCCCCCUCCCAGGCGAUCAGGAGGCCGAGCAGGGAGAGCAGCGCCAGCGCCAUGGUCCCGACCUUGUGUGUGCCCCCCCCCCGCCUGCCUGCGGGACAAACAAGCCCCAGGCCUGGGGCCAGGCAGGGCGGGCGGCCAAGACGGUGACCGGGCAUGGAUUUUCCGCCCCCCACGCUGCCAGAGCCAGCGCUGCCUUUCUUUUCCCCUGCGCCCCCCCUCCUCCAGAGGGAUGGAGAGGGGCUGGGGGGGGGGGGGCAAAGCCGGGACAGGGCUGGGCUCCUGCCAGCUGCGGGCAGGGAUGGGCAGGGAUAGGCACUGCCGGCAGGAGAAGGGUGCCAAGGCACCCAGCGCUGGCACCCUCAGGUCCCGUGUCCCCCCCCCCAGUGUGGGAGCUGCCAGCCCCCCCCGGGUUGUGCAAUGGUGCCAGCUUCCCCCCCCAAAAAAAAGAAAAACGAUUGUGCAAUAGCCCAGCCGCAGGGUGGCUACCAACCCCCCAAAACGCUUGUGUAAUGGCCCAGCUGCAGCGGGGCUCCUGCCCCCCCCGCAGCACUGCCCCCAGCACCCACUGCGGGCACCGCUGCAGCCCCCUGCACUGCUGCGUGCCCCCCCAGUGCUGCCCCAAAUAACUCCCCCCGCCCAGCCCCGCUCCAUCCUGCCCGGCCCAGGGCAUUGUGGGAAACUCCCGUCCGCGCUGCAUCCCCUCCCUCAGCACGGCCCGGAGGCGCGGGGGGGGCACCCCGGGGUGCAGACCCCCCACUUCUGCCCCACAGCCGUGCCCCCCCUCCUCGGCUGAGCCCCCAGGCAUCAGUCCCUGCACCCCCAAAGCGGGCAUGGACCCCCCCAUCCCUCCCACCCCACUGCACCCCAGCCGGGGCAGGGGCACCCCAGGGAGCACCCUCGGGGGGGACCCCUGGGUCCCCUGCUUGGGGGGGGGUCCGGGGGGGGCUUUCAGGACUGGCUGAGACUGGCGAAAGCUCAUUGCAGGGAAGGGAAGGAUGAGGGAAGGGA